AUUGAACGCUGGCGGCAUGCCUUACACAUGCAAGUCGAACGGCAGCACGGGAGCAAUCCUGGUGGCGAGUGGCGAACGGGUGAGUAAUAUAUCGGAACGUGCCCAGUCGUGGGGGAUAACGCAGCGAAAGCUGUGCUAAUACCGCAUACGAUCUAUGGAUGAAAGCGGGGGAUCGCAAGACCUCGCGCGAUUGGAGCGGCCGAUAGCAGAUUAGCUAGUUGGUGAGGUAAAGGGUCACAAAGGCGACGAUCUGUAGCUGGUCUGAGAGGACGACCAGCCACACUGGAACUGAGACACGGUCCAGACUCCUACGGGAGGCAGCAGUGGGGAAUUUGGGACAAUGGGCGCAAGCCUGAUCCAGCAAUGCCGCGUGCAGGAUGAAGGCCUUCGGGUUGUAAACUGCUUUUGUACGGAGCGAAAAGGCUUCUCCUAAUACGAGGGGCUCAUGACGGUACCGUAAGAAUAAGCACCGGCUAACUACGUGCCAGCCGCCGCGGUAA
rnacentral:rRNA from 1 species